rnacentral:rRNA from 1 species
GACGGCUGCCGCAGCCUGAUCAGCCAUGCCGCGUGUAGUGAGAAGGCCUUCGGGUUGUAAAGCUCUUUUGUCAGGGAAGAAACGGAUCUGGCUAAUACCUGGUUCUCAUGACGGUACCUGAAGAAUAAGCACCGGCUAACUACGUGCCAGCAGCCGCGGUAAUACGUAGGGUGCAAGCGUUAAUCGGAAUUACUGGGCGUAAAGCGUGCGCAGGCGGUUUUGCAAGACCGAUGUGAAAUCCCCGGGCUCAACCUGGGAACUGCCUUGGAGACUGCAUGGCUAGAGUGUGUCAGAGGGGGAUAGAAUUCCACGUGUAGCAGUGAAAUGCGUAGAGAUGUGGAGGAAUACCGAUGGCGAAGGCAGCCCCCUGGAAUAACACUGACGCUCAUGCACGAAAGCGUGGGGAGCAAACAGGAUUAGAUACCCUGGUAGUCCACGCCCUAAACGAUGUCAACUAGUUGUUGGGAAUUCUUUUUCUUGGUAACGUAGCUAACGCGUGAAGUUGACCGCCUGGGGAGUACGGUCGCAAGAUUAAAACUCAAUGAAAUUUUGACGGG